CCUGGCUGAACCUAUACAUUUAAUGGAGGGUGGGAUGGAACUCCACAGGCCAAGAAAUAGCCAUGAAGAGACUUGAUAAAAGGAGAUAUGUUCUUUGUUAUAUAAUGUCUUUUGGAAUGUGUUGUCGCCAACUACACGUGAUGUCACAAGAGGUGUAGCAACCUGGGAGACUGGGUGGAGUGAACAUCAGUCCAGCUCCAGCUAUCUGCUGACAAAGUCAGAUAACAGAUAAGAAGCCAGGAAAAGAAAAUCCUAAAAAUACAGGCCUGGAAGUCAGAAGCAGCACUCAGGCUGACAAGAAAAUUGCAUGAUGUUGUUGUGGAGUCUCAGAUGUGAGAAAUUCACAUAAUUCGGCAUUUCUGGAAAUUUGCAUAAAAUUCGGCUGAGCAAGAAGAGUUUGUUCCAUGAAAAGAAAUACCUGGUAGUAAACAAAUUUCUGAUCUAGCCAAGAGAGCAGACAGAAAACGUCAACAUCCAGGGAGCAACGAGCCAGCAGAUCUUCCUGCCAAUCUAUCCUGGACAAGGACUAUAACCAUGGCGACACUGGAUAUCCACAGAAUUUCAGAGUGCUGAAGACUUCAUGACAAUUAGAAUCACAAUUAGAUACUGGAUUCUCACAGACGCCAGAGUUUUCAGUACUUACAUAGGAUAAAGAGUGCUGCAUUUUCUGAAUUUGAAGAUAACUUUGCUGUCAAGGCCAUGAAGGUGCCAUGGAGGCGUCACUUCCAAUGCUGAGAAUUUCAGCUCCUCUGGAACUAAGCCCAGGUGGUAGGCGGGGUAGUGAAAACUCACACUCCCUUGUUUUCUGCACCCCCAGAAACUUUCAACAGACAUUCCAGCUCAUCUCAGAUAACUGAUCUCACCAAGCACCUCCACCAUCCUCCGAGAAGAAGUAUCAGACAUGAUAGUUGUCUUUAUCUCCAGAUGGCAGGCCAUCUUGUAGCUCCAAAGCAGUGAUCAUCACCAAGUCACACCCCUGGGUGGGACACGCAUGGAGAAUGGAAACAGCAGAGUGUACAGACAUCUGUGGUAGGCAGCCCAAUGUGGGCGUCUGAAAGCACUUAGGGAUGAGAGAAGGGCUUGGAGACUGAACUGAGGUUGGGCUUCAAUCAUAUGGCAGCACCCAGGGCCUGCUAAAAAACAGAGCUGCAGCAGACUGAUCUCUGGUCCAGCACAUGCCAUUACAAAUGUCCCAAGAACCAGCGAACUGGAUGCUAUGCUAGCAAAGAGCUGUUUUAGCUAAAAGAAAGAAUGGCCACCCUGAUUUAUACAAGUGAAUGAAGUGUGAAAAGACACUAACCACUACUCAAACUCUCCAUUAAACCAACUGAAAAGGACCUUCUUUAAUCCAAUACAGACAGAAAGGUUAAUGAGAAAAUACAGAGAUGGAUUUAAGGUUCAGCAGUGCACUUCUGCCAAGGAAAGCUGAACAAUGCCAGGGUCCACUAUGGUAACAAAGGUUCUCAAAAGUUGGAAUGAAGCCAUGAGGAGAGAUAACUCUGUUGUCAUAUGGCACAAACUAAAUUUAAAAGUGAUGCUGUAGCAGCAAUCAAGACUAUAUUCACAUUGCAACUUGGAAAUUAAUUCUAAUAAACUUUCAGCUGCUCCAUUAAA